GGGGAAUAUUGGACAAUGGGCGCAAGCCUGAUCCAGCCACGCCGCGUGAGUGAUGAAGGCCUUCGGGUUGUAAAGCUCUGGAGCAAGAGAAGAAAAAGUCGAACAAGAAACGGUUCGACCUUGACGGUACCUUGCUAUUAGCACCGGCUAACUCUGUGCCAGCAGCCGCGGUAAUACAGAGGGUGCGAACGUUGCUCGGAAUUACUGGGCGUAAAGCGCGUGUAGGCGGAUAUAUAAGCCAGACGUGAAAUCCCCGGGCUCAACUCGGGAACUGCGUUUGGAACUGUAUAUCUUGAGUACUGGAGAGGGUCGCGGAAUUCCUGGUGUAGAGGUGAAAUUUGUAGAUAUCAGGAGGAACAUCUGUGGCGAAGGCGGCGACCUGGACAGUAACUGACGCUGAGACGCAAAAGUGUGGGUAGCAAAC
rnacentral:rRNA from 1 species